AUUGAACGCUGGCGGCAGGCUUAACACAUGCAAGUCGAGCGGGGGAAGGUAGCUUGCUACCGGACCUAGCGGCGGACGGGUGAGUAAUGCUUAGGAAUCUGCCUAUUAGUGGGGGACAACAUCUCGAAAGGGAUGCUAAUACCGCAUACGUCCUACGGGAGAAAGCAGGGGAUCUUCGGACCUUGCGCUAAUAGAUGAGCCUAAGUCGGAUUAGCUAGUUGGUGGGGUAAAGGCCUACCAAGGCGACGAUCUGUAGCGGGUCUGAGAGGAUGAUCCGCCACACUGGGACUGAGACACGGCCCAGACUCCUACGGGAGGCAGCAGUGGGGAAUAUUGGACAAUGGGGGGAACUCUGAUCCAGCCACGCCGCGUGUGUGAAGAAGGCCUUAUGGUUGUAAAGCACUUUAAGCGAGGAGGAGGCUACUUUAGUUAAUACCUAGAGAUAGUGGACGUUACUCGCAGAAUAAGCACCGGCUAACUCUGUGCCAGCCGCCGCGGUAA
rnacentral:rRNA from 1 species